rnacentral:lncRNA from 1 species
AACAAGUCAAAUAUAUAGGUUUGAUUUUUUUAAUCCCCAAAACUCCCCCUAGGCUACAACCUAUUUUGGGGUCGUUUGGCAUGGCGGACUGUCAUGGACUGGACUAAAUCAUAGGACUAUCUCGGAUUAGCUCAGAGUGGCCUAAGCUGGAUUAAGUAUUGACCUACAUUUGGUGUUGCGUCGGACUAAGAAGCUGGAUUGUAAAAAUAGUGAAGACCUAUGUUUGGUGCUGUGUCUAACUAAAAAAUAAUUCUUAUAAUAUUUAAAUUUAAUUGGGGUUUUUGACCUAAAAGAUAAAUAAAUGCUAAAAAGAAACUCAAUUCAAAGAUUUAUAACAAUAUCUGGCAACCAAAAAAAAAUAUUUAAAACAAUAAUAAAAAGAAAACAAAUAAAUUUUUUUUUAAUUUUAAUGAAGAAUAAAAUUAUGAUAUUUAUUUUUUGGCUCCUCAAGAUUAAUCUUAGUUGGUGGAAACAUUGUUAAAGGAGCUAAUCUCACUCAAUAUAAUUCUAAGUUUUUCAGGGACCAAGUAAAACAAUAAUUAAAUUAUAUAUAUAUAUAUGUAUAAUUUUUAUAUAUUUGACUUU